rnacentral:rRNA from 1 species
AGCAGUGGGGAAUAUUGGACAAUGGGCGAAAGCCUGAUCCGGCCAUGCCGCGUGUGUGAAGAAGGUCUUCGGAUUGUAAAGCACUUUAAGUUGGGAGGAAGGGCAGUAGAUUAAUACUUUGCUGUUUUGACGUUACCGACAGAAUAAGCACCGGCUAACUCUGUGCCAGCAGCCGCGGUAAUACAGAGGGUGCAAGCGUUAAUCGGAAUUACUGGGCGUAAAGCGCGCGUAGGUGGUUCGUUAAGUUGGAUGUGAAAUCCCCGGGCUCAACCUGGGAACUGCAUUCAAAACUGACGAGCUAGAGUAUGGUAGAGGGUGGUGGAAUUUCCUGUGUAGCGGUGAAAUGCGUAGAUAUAGGAAGGAACACCCAGUGGCGAAGGCGACCACCUGGACUGAUACUGACACUGAGG